rnacentral:rRNA from 1 species
AGAACGAACGCUGGCGGCAUGCCUAACACAUGCAAGUCGAACGUGAUCCAGGCUUCGGCCUGGUGAAAGUGGCAGACGGGUGAGUAACGCGUGGGAACCUGCCCUGUGGUAGGGAAUAACCGUGGGAAACUGCGGCUAAUACCCUAUGAGUCCUUCGGGAGAAAGAUUUAUCGCCAUAGGAGGGGCCCGCGUCGGAUUAGGUAGUUGGUGGGGUAACGGCCUACCAAGCCUUCGAUCCGUAGCUGGUCUGAGAGGAUGAUCAGCCACACUGGGACUGAGAUACGGCCCAGACUCCUACGGGAGGCAGCAGUGGGAAUAUUGGACAAUGGGGGCAACCCUGAUCCAGCAAUGCCGCGUGGAUGAUGAAGGCCUUCGGGUUGUAAAGUCCGUUUCGGCGGGGAAGAUGAUGACGGUACCGCAGAAGAAGCCCGGCUAACUUCGCGCCAGCAGCCGC